GCCCAGAUGGCUGAGUGGUUAAAGCGCUGGAUUGCUAAUCCAGUUUCCUCACGGAUUCGCAGGUUCGAAUCCUGCUCUGGGCG
rnacentral:tRNA from 1 species